GACGAACGCUGGCGGCGUGCUUAACACAUGCAAGUCGAACGGAAAGGCCCUGCUUUUGUGGGGUGCUCGAGUGGCGAACGGGUGAGUAACACGUGAGUAACCUGCCCUUGACUUUGGGAUAACUUCAGGAAACUGGGGCUAAUACCGGAUAGGAGCUCCUGCUGCAUGGUGGGGGUUGGAAAGUUUCGGCGGUUGGGGAUGGACUCGCGGCUUAUCAGCUUGUUGGUGGGGUAGUGGCUUACCAAGGCUUUGACGGGUAGCCGGCCUGAGAGGGUGACCGGGCCACUUUGGGACUAGGAAACGGCCCAGCCCCCUACGGGGGGCAAGGGGGGGGAAUUUUGCAAAAGGGGGGGAAGCCUGAUGCAGCAACGCCGGGUGGGGGAGGAGGGCCUUCGGGUUGUAAACCGCUUUCCCCUGGGACGAAGCGGGGGGGAGGGUAAUGGGUAAAAAAGCACCGGCUAACUACGU
rnacentral:rRNA from 1 species